GGAUCAUUGUCGAAAUCGAACGGAAGAACGACCCGCGAAUCGUCAUUGCGUAGUAGACAGAGCCCGUGAGCACCCAACGCUCACGGGUCUCGCGUCGCGUCGGCGCGGGUGUACUCGAGACCCGCGUCGUACCGGCGGACAAACAACGUCAGCACGGAUCGUGCCAAGGAACUGCAUGGAGAGAAUCGUCGUCCCACGCCUUUGACAGUCCUCGACGCGGGACGGGGGAUGUACGCAAUCUCUACUCAAGUCUAAACGACUCUCGGCAACGGAUAUCUCGGCUCUUGCAUCGAUGAAGAACGUAGCGAAAUGCGAUACUUGGUGUGAAUUGCAGAAUCCCGAAUGCGAUACUUGGUGUGAAUUGCAGAAUCCCGUGAACCAUCAAUUCUUUGAACGCAAGUUGCGCCCGAAGCCAUUCGGCCGAGGGCACGCCUGCCUGGGCGUCGUGAAUCCCCUUGCCCCUAGGCACCCGCAUGAGCAUUGGCGGGGAUAUAUGCUCGGGCGCAGAAUAUGGUCUCCCGUGGGAUCGGCAUGCACGGCAUGCAGAGGUGCGGUUGGCCGAAAAUCGAGCAUGGCGGUGACGGGCACCACGGCGUUCGGUGGAUCGAACGAGAUUGGCUGCGUCGUGGGCUCGGCAUGCGGCGGGCUCCGGACUUUGAAUAUCCCCGAGUGCGAUCCCAGGUCAGGCGGGGCUACCCGCUGAGUUUAAGCAUAUCAAUAAGCGGAGGAAAAGAAACUAACGAGGAUUCCCUUAGUAGCGGC
rnacentral:rRNA from 1 species